rnacentral:rRNA from 1 species
UACGGGGGGGGGCAAGCGUUUGUUCGGAAUUACUGGGCGUAAAGGGUUUGUAGGUGGCUUGUUAAGUCAGACGUGAAAUCCCUCAGCUUAACUGGGGAACUGCGUCUGAUACUGGCGAGCUUGAGUGCAGGAGAGGAACGCGGAAUUCCAGGUGUAGCGGUGAAAUGCGUAGAUAUCGGAAGGAACAUCAGUGGCGAAAGCGGCUUCCUGGACCAGUACCGACGUCAGGCACGAAAGCGUGGGGAGCAAA